rnacentral:tRNA from 1 species
UCGCUGGUGGCUCAGAUGGUAAAGCGUCUGCCUCCAACGCAGGAGACCUGGGUUUGAUUCCUGGUUUGGGAA